GUGACCUCCCUGUGCCUCAGGUUCUUGCAGAGUGGAAAUGCCCACUUCGCAGAAUGGCUGUGGGUGUGGAUGAGACGAUGUAGUGGACACUCCUGCCUGGCACCCAUGGGUGCUCAUGAAGAUUGUGUUAGCUGUUGGCUGCAAUAUGUUGUGACUUAUCAUGUGUGAUCCUUGAGUGAAGAGGCAGCUGCGAGCCUGAACUGACUCCUAUGAACUAGUCUUCUCCAGCAAUAGACCCUUCUUCAACUUAUGGUAGCCUGUACGCCAAGGGUGACAGACUGGAAAGCAGGAUCUACUGGGACAUCUAUGGGAAAAGGAGGGGGAAUGAGAUCAAGGAUUGAGGACGCUAAUGGGGCACCAGCUCCAGAAUGGCCAUCACUGAGCACAUAGAGGAGUGAAAUUUAAGGGGGCAGAGUGGAGUGUUCAUAGAUUCGAGUUCAACAUGAUUGAAGAUGGAAGGUAGAAGGCAGAAGGCACGUGUGGUCCAUUUACCUUGGACAACAAGUACAUGGUCUACAAGGUGUCCACAUUGGCCUCUGGGAACCACGGACAGGGCCAAUGUAUAAUCACGGGGCUAUGCAAGGAUCAGCAUCCCAUGUUUACACUGACACUGCAA